CAGUAAUUUUUCUCUUUGGCCAAAAUUCUGUUACUGUAUUGAUCCUACCAGGCCACUUCACUCCUUUAGAAGAUAUCUACUUCAUCCUUUCCCUUGGCAACCACCAUUCAACUGUCUGUCAUGAGCUUUCUUAAGAAGUUAUCUUGGAAGUGGAUUCUUCAGCCCCGCUUCUUCCAGACUCUAGUAGUUUAAGUCUUUCCAGCUGGAUUUAAGGGAUGAGAGUGGAUGCAUGAAUUGAGGAGUCUCCAUCUGAGGAACUGAAAGACUGUGAAGAGCACAGCCCCCCACUGUUCACCUGAUGUAGACAAGGAACAGAAGAAAAAAUGAACUUCUGUUGUGUUAUGCCUUUGAAACUUGGGCAUUUUGUGCAAU
rnacentral:lncRNA from 1 species